GCUCAGGCUGCUCAGGCUGCCGCUCAUGCCGCCCAGAUCGCCGAAUAUAGAGCCUUUACUAGAGCCCUACAUGCCGCCCAGCAGGCCCAGCAGCAGCAGAUGUUCCAGUACUUCCAGGAUUUUACAGCUGCCCAGCAACAGGGACUUCCACCUCCGCCCAUGCCUGCGCCUAUAGAGUUACCUCUGCCGCCGCAAUCUCCUCACCAGCAGGCCCGAGAUUCGGAUAUUGAUUUAGACCAUCUAGAUUUUGUGUAGUUGAUACCUUAUAUAGUUUUAUGUGCUUCUUGUUGGUUAUAUAUAUGGAAUUAUUUUGGUGUAUUUUGCAGCUUGCUUGGAAUGGUAAUUUAAGAAUUUCGUGUUAUUUUUUUUUACUGGAAUGGCGUUAUAGCCGACGAAACAUGCCACAAUUCGUCGGCUAUAGUUAAUUUUUUUUUUUUUUCCAAAGGGUUUAGCCGACGAAUUAUGGUAAGUUUCGUCGGCUAAACACUACUAAAGCCGACGAAACAGAAUCUAUGUCGUCGGCUAUAGUUAUUUUUAAAUAUUUUAAUUAUAUACUUUAGCCGACGAAACAGAGAUAUUCAUCGGCUAAAGUUUGUCAGUAAAGCCGACGAAUAUUCUGUUCGUCGGCUUAAGUCUGAGAGUAUAGCCGACGACACAGGACGUCGUCGGCUAAAGUCUGGAACAAUAGCCGACGAAAAAUAGUUCGUCGGCUAAAAGCUGGAACAAUAGCCGACGAUGGUCUUUAGAUUCGUCGGCUAAAGCCAUCAUCGACGACCCUUUCCCGACGACACUAUAGCCGACGAGCCUUCGUCGGCUAAGGUCUUAGCCGACGAAUUAGGAUAACAGGCCGACGAAAAUAUUUCGUCGGCUAAAGUAUUUGUCCUGGUAGUGCACCUUGUGCAAUUACAGCUUAUUUAUGUCAUUUAGCAGGCUUUCCCAGCUAUUGUUUUAGUUUCUGAUCUUGUAUUGGUUUUUUGAUUUGUAAUUCUUUAGGCAGCAGCAACGAAUUUGUUCUUCGUUGUUCUUUGUCCUUAGUAGAUCACAGGUUUUUGUGUUGUUCUUUUUUUUUUCGGGAGGGGUUUUGGUCUAUGUCCCCCUCUCCCUUUAUGUACUCUUUUGUUUCUUUUUUUCAAUAAAAUAACUGGAACCGGGCGUAGGGCUGAGCCUCACAGCUUGGUUGGGUUUCAAACCCUUAAAAAAAAAAAAUUUAUUAUUAUUGUGCUGGGCCUGGGUGUAAAGAGAAGGUCUGUUGGCCCAAUCACCAUCUAAACGACGUCGGUUGGUCCUGCAAUCAUUUCCAUUAUGUUGUACGAAAGGUAAUUGAACUGUAAACUAUUGUGUGGAUUUUUUUCUGAAAUUAUUUUUUGUGGAUUGAAACAAUGAUCAUUAUACACCUAGAAAUGAUCAUUUUUGAAUUGUUACACUUCGAUUUUCUGGUCUGAUCAAAAUCAUGAAAGAAAAAAUUUAUUCUUGUGCAGCUUAAAGCCUUAAAUUAACUUUUUUCUGAAGUUUUUUGAAAGAGUUAUAACUACAAUCAUUGAGCUCUUGCAAAACAAAUGACCAUAAUCAACUUGAUCAAUAUUAGGAGUGGACAAAUGCAGAGAUAAAUGAUGUGUAUGUCAGCCAAAGGCCCAAAAGUAUUUAUUGUCAAUAACAUACAUGUGUAAAGAGAAGACAAUAUCACUACCAGGACAAGCACUUUAGCCGACGAAAAUUUUUCGUCGGCCUGUCAGCUUAAUUCGUCGGCUAAGCUCUUAGCCGACGACCUUUCGUCGGCUAAGAUUUCGUCGGGAAAAGCUCGUCUGUGGUGACUUUAGCCGACGACACACGUAUAAGUCGUCGGCUAUAGUCCAUACUUUAGCCGACGAAAUAAUGUC
rnacentral:lncRNA from 1 species